rnacentral:rRNA from 1 species
GACGAACGCUGGCGGCGUGCUUAACACAUGCAAGUCGAACGAGGGAAUUCUUUUCGGAGAAUAUACCGAGUGGCAAACGGGUGAGUAACGCGUAUCCAACCUUCCCGCAAGUAAGGGAUAACCCGUAGAAAUGCGGCCUAAUACCUUAUGUUUUCCUUAGAGGGCAUCUGAUGAGGAACAAAGAUCCGUCGCUUGCGGAUGGGGAUGCGUCUGAUUAGUUAGUCGGCGGGGUAACGGCCCACCGAGACGACGAUCAGUAGGGGUUCUGAGAGGAAGGUCCCCCACAUUGGAACUGAGACACGGUCCAAACUCCUACGGGAGGCAGCAGUGAGGAAUAUUGGUCAAUGGGCGAGAGCCUGAACCAGCCAAGUAGCGUGCAGGACGACGGCCCUAUGGGUUGUAAACUGCUUUUAUAAGGGGAAUAAAGUGGGUCUCGUGAGACCUUUUUGCAUGUACCUUAUGAAUAAGGACCGGCUAAUUCCGUG